UGGAGAGGGAAAGAAAUGUGUGUAUGCAAUUAGUAUAGAGAGAUAGAGAAGCAGAUGGUCAAGGGAGUAAAACCUCAGAGAGUUCCUAACCUUGAAGGAAAGGAACAGGCUGAGCCAGAAGGUGAUAAACAGUGUGAGAAGUUUAUGGGGGUUGCAGGUCACCAACAGAUUGUGUGUAAAUGCAUGUGCGUAGGUAAGCAAGAACUAUAUAAUGACUGUUUUGUUAUCCUGACGCCAGAACGUUCUCAUGAAUAAAGCUACAGAAACCUUUUGCAGAAAGCUGAGUCCUUGCCUAAUUAUUUUAACCCAUUGUCUUACAAACCUUGGGCAUUAGUCAAGGCGAAUUGAUUUUUGAUUAUUAUCAUCGAGAUAUAAAAUUCUUAUAACAAUUGGUCUUUCGACCGGGAUCUCAAAAACUGCCGCUGUCGUUCCAAGGAGACACCGAAACCGGGCGGAUGAAAUAUCCGUAAAUCAAAGACCUGGCCCUUUUCUGUGGGUUCUUUACAGGCCGGUGGCAAACUGGUACGCGACAGAGGUGGUGACGAGAUUCAACGAACAUUGAAAAACUCAGCUGCAAAUUAUAAGGUUAGUAGACUUUAUUCAUUGUUUUGGGGAAUAGCACCUGUAUGAUUACAUUAAAUAAGGAAUGAGUGGUACACCUGUGUGUCUGCGUUGCAUGAUGAGUGAUACACCUGUAGGUCUGCAUUACAUGAUGAAAUGAGGAAUACACCUGUAGGUCUGCAUUGCAUGAUGGAAUAAGGGACACAAUUGGGUGUUGGCAUUAAAUGAGGAAACGAUUGAUGUGAGAGUGAAAGGCAAAAGCGAUUGAUGUGAGCGUGAAAGGCGGGAGCAAGUAGAGGAUUUUAAUGUACUCUGGGUGUUAGACGCUGGAACUAUCCGGAAGGGAGUUUGUAUCUGGUGACCUGUCUUUAUAAGUUUGCGUGGAGAAAAAUCGGUUUUAAAGGGAACCAAGUAUUCUGUGCAAAUGGAAGAUAGGAAUCGGGUAUAAGUUCAAACAGGAGGAGGAGGGGUCCGAAAUGACUCCACGGUGUCUGUGGCCACUACCAAUAUAAACUAGCUAAAUGUUGAGUACCUAAAACGUAAAAUUGGUGGAAAGACAUUGGCCGGAAACGUAAAUUGGAAGGCGAAAUAUAGUAAUAUAAUUAUGAGGGAGGAGGACAGAGACAUGAUUACAUUAAUAUAGGUCGCCUGUCUAAAUACGUCUAGAAGGGGAUGGUCAGAUCUUCCGGAGGCGCAACCUAGGUCUGAUUAUCCAUGGGAGAAGGGAGACCUAAUAUGGCGGAGUGAGAUACAGAUAUUAUUGUUAAUUACAUGAAGCAACAGAUAAAUAAGCUGUUAACUAGGGCUUUACGACCCCUGGAAGAUAGUUUAUAGUUGCAUACGUAUGCGACCUAAUGUCCGAUCAAAAGUCACCGCUAUAGAUAAAGUUUCAAGAAGGAGAUACACAUAGAUUGUACAACACAUAGACACAUUGGGAAGUUUCCACAGGGGUAAGAGGAUAAUUGCGUGUGAGAUAGAUAAGAGGGUCAAAAGCCAUAUACAUGCGAGACCUAAUGGAUCUAUCAAAAGUCAUGAAAGAAAUUAUUCUGGGACCCUAGAGGAAAUUACCAGUAGGGCAUGGACAAAGAAAAAUACAGCACACACAUAGAGAUCAAUAGCAAGUACACACAGAUCGUAAUUGAAUCAGAGUUUUAUAAAUUAAAGCACAUAGAAUAAAAGAUAGUUUAAGGUUCUUACGAAUAAUAUUUCUAAAAUUCUAGAUUGGGAGAAGAAGCAGAAUAAAUACGAGUGUACUUUAACAACAUGGGUAGUAAAUCCUCUAAGGAGAUCCCGGUAUUGACGGGAGAUGAACGCUUUAUGCUGGGAAAAGAUAAGAGGAACAUUUAUUUUGGCCCGAAAUGGAGGAAGAAAUACGAUUUUGAUGGAUGUUUAAAUGUUGAAAGAUUGGAAUUAAUGAUAAAACAAAUACAUAGGGUCUGUGGGGGUAAGAUAGAGAAGCAGCGCACAGAGGGCCUUGACACUGCUCGGGUAUGGCUAGCAGAAGCUAGAAAGAGAGCGGAGGGGGCCAAGAGUAAGGGAGUUACUAAGAAUGAAUGUUUGGGUAGACAGGAGCAGACAGAGAGGACUCCCACGGCUCCCACAGAGACAACAUCUGAACCCAAAUUAUACCCCUCCCUGGCUGACCAGGGGUGGCGGGAGAACCCAGAUAACGAGGUGGUGGUAGUGAGACUGAGG
rnacentral:lncRNA from 1 species